rnacentral:lncRNA from 1 species
UUUCAACCCAAUUUUAUGGAGAAUUAUAGGUUUGAAGGGCGUCAAAGGUUAGAAAUCAGUACCAAAAACUGUUGAAUAUUCAUCUUUGUUCAAUGAUUGAUGUUCAGAACAUUUAAUUGACCAUGUGUUUCAUUUGUUUAAAGUAAUUUCCUUAUUCAUCAAUGUUAUGCUGUUGCUUUCAAAUUUCUCGAUGUAGGAGGAAUUGAAGAUGUUCUAAUGAGAGCGUACAUCUUGCUUUUGAUUUAAUGUCUCUAGGAAAGAAGGACAACAUUAUAGGAUAAUAAUAUUCUGAUGGUGCAGAUUGUUUUGGAAAGAAUAGCAAAAAAUACUCAUGGCUAUGUUGGUGCUGACCUUGCUGCUCUGCACUGAAGCUGCACUCCAGUGCCUAAGAGAGAUUAUUAUUAUUAUUUUGAUAGGUAAAAAGGAUAUUAUUGAUUUGGAAGACGAUUCUAUUCACGGUGAGAUACUAACUCCAUGAUUGUUACCAAUAAGCACUUCUAGACUACUCUAGGAAAAAGCAACCUAUCCGCUUUAUGGGAGACCGUAAGUGGAUUUUGACUGCUAUAUAUUUUGCUUGAUAUUUGUUUAUAUAUGUUUGUUGUCAUUUUUUUUUUUAAUGACGAGGGAACCCGCAGCCGUUACCCUUCGAGUGCGCACUAGAUAAACCCUCGAGCUGACGCAAUAGCCUGCAAAUCAUGCCAAUCAGGUAAACCGCACAGGCAAGCCUGGUGCGACAACAUGUUUGUUGUCAAUUUUGAUAUGAGAUUAUUACGUGAAAUAGCAGGUUGCCCGAUAUUUGCCUACUUAUGUUUGUUGUCAAUUUAAUAUUCCAAAUGUAUGAAUCACUUCAUUGCUUAGUUAAGUGAUUCAUUAAUAAAAUAACAUUUAACUAAUUUGAUCUUAUAAAGUAGAAAUCAUCCUUUAAAUUGAGUUUCUCACAAUUAUAUCCCGUAUAAUAAAAGUAUAUAAACAUUGACAAUUGUCUGCUUAUUUUGUGACAAAGAACUAUAUUACUAUGAUGUUUACACCUGUACAUUUAAUAAAAUUGGAUACAAAAUAUUAUAAACUUUAACAGUAUAUAACUAACUUCAAUAAAUAGAUAGUCGUAACGAAAAGUUAAAUACAAUGAAUACCAAAUGUUUGUAUCAAGAAUCAAGUAUAAAAAGAAAAGAGAUAAAAAGUAAGUCAAUUUCAACCAAUUUAUGAUUAUAUUUCAUGUUUAUAAAUGAAUUUCUCUCAAAUUUAAUACACUUAAUUUUAAAAUUAAUCAAACAACGUGCAACGUAUGUUCACCUCACUAGUUUUAAAGAAAAAGAUGUAUCACUAGUUUUAUAGAAAAAGAUGUACUAAUGUAUAUAAAAAUGAAAAAGUUUGUGUACAGAACCACACUUUUACCACCCUCUCACAGAACAUGGGGCCACUAUUAUUUUAAUCGCAGACCCCACCCCUAAUGUGAGAGGGUUGUUAUAGUUGCCAUCAAAGUAAUUGUACCUAGUAUGUCUCUAUUUAUAGAGCUUGCCUCCCGUUACUUCUCUCUCCACAGUCGCGAAAUUGCAUACUUUUUCACAUUUUCUCUCUCUGCAUUUGCUGGGACCUUUGGGAAACUGCGAACACCACUUUGUGGUAUCUAUAAUCAAACCUUCAAGAGGCAGCAAUCCAUUUCAAAACCCAAUUUUAAAUUUUCAUUCUCCAAUAUUUUUCAUUUUGUCUUCUGAUAUUUUUGCCAUAGGCGUUGUUUGUCUGUUGAACCCUCACAUAUAUUCUAUUAAGUCAUGUUAGCCUAAGGGUAUUUAAGUCUUUGUACAGCAUUUUUUUAUUAUAGAUCGGUUUGCUGCUAGUUGCAUCUUUGUAUAUAUAUAUACACUUGUACAGUUCAAAGUCAUGCAAUGUGAAUUGAGAUUUCUUUCCCGCCAUAUUCUCUUACCCUUUCAAUUCUAGAAUACUCUACAGCUAACUUCUCAUGGUAUCAGAGCAUUGAUGCUUCUCUGCAAUGGCAAGUGAAUCAAGUGCUCAAUCAAAGAUCAAAAAUCAGUCCAAUUAAACGAAUUCAUCGAUCAGAUUGUCUGCUGAUGAAGUGGUAACUGGAGAUAUGGCUGCUCUCGUUGAUUGAUUGAUAAGUGAUUCAAGCAGUCCGUAUUAUUUGCAUCAUGGCGAUAAUACAGAAAUGCAACUCACCAAUGUCAUGCUCACCGAGGAAAAUUACGCAACGUGGAGCCCUGCUGUUAUUAUGGCGCUCAGCGUCAAUAAUAAGGAAGGAUUCAUUGAUGGAUCAAUUGUUAAACCUUCCUUAAAUGAUCCUCUUUAUGGUGCUUGUAGGAGAUGCAACCAUGUGGUUUCUUCAUGGAUCAUUAAUUCAAUUUUGAAGGGACUAUAUCCGAGUAUGAUGCACGAGGACUCUGCAAGAGAAAUCUGGACUGAACUCGCACAUAUGAGCUUAAAAAGUAAAUUGCUUCGAUUUCUCAAGCAAAUAGUUCUGUUAACUCUUAUUUCAAUCGAUUCAAGGGACUUUAGGAAGAGCCGGACAACUACCCGGAUAUCAGUAACGGUAAUUACAAAUCUGAGGAGUAAGUUGACACUCAAGAACAAUUGUUUCCUGAUAUUCAUCCACCGUUGUUGUCUUAUUCAGGAUCUUUCAACAUGGAUGAUGAUUGGGGUAGGCAAGCUUGAAGAUGGAUUAUAUCAUUUUCAGCAACCUGAACACCAAAGCAGUGAUCAAUCCUCACGCAAUUUCCAACAUCUUAUAACAAAUUCCAUUGUCUUUCAUAGUUCAAACAAUAAUUCUGUCUCGUCUUUGAAAUGUAAUAAAGGAUAUCUUGCUGCCUGUACUUCCUUGAACAAUAUUGUUGUCAAUACAAACAUUGAUGUUUGGCAUUGUCGCUUGGGACAUAUUCCUGUUUCUAAGCUGUCGUUUUACA